UACGGAGGGUGCAAGCGUUAAUCGGAAUUACUGGGCGUAAAGCGCACGUAGGCGGUAAGUUAAGUUGGAUGUGAAAGCCCCGGGCUCAACCUGGGAAUUGCAUUCAAAACUGGCUCGCUAGAGUAUGUGAGAGGGGGGUAGAAUUCCAAGUGUAGCGGUGAAAUGCGUAGAGAUUUGGAGGAAUACCAGUGGCGAAGGCGGCCCCCUGGCACAAUACUGACGCUGAGGUGCGAAAGCGGGGGGAUCAAACAGUAUGAGAUACCCUGGAAGUCCACGCCGUAAACGAUGUCUACUAGCUGUUCGUGGUCUUGUACCGUGAGUAGCGCAGCUAACGCACUAAGUAGACCGCCUGGGGAGUACGGUCGCAAGAUUAAA
rnacentral:rRNA from 1 species